UACGAAGGGGGCUAGCGUUGCUCGGAAUCACUGGGCGUAAAGCGUGCGCAGGCGGUUCGCUAAGACCGAUGUGAAAUCCCCGGGCUUAACCUGGGAACUGCAUUGGUGACUGGCGGGCUAGAGUAUGGCAGAGGGGGGUAGAAUUCCACGUGUAGCAGUGAAAUGCGUAGAGAUGUGGAGGAAUACCGAUGGCGAAGGCAGCCCCCUGGGCCAAUACUGACGCUCAUGCACGAAAGCGUGGGGAGCAAACAGG
rnacentral:rRNA from 1 species